rnacentral:ncRNA from 1 species
GGUUAAGUGACUAAGCGUAUACGGUGGAUGCCUUGGCAGUCAGAGGCGAUGAAGGACGUAGUAACUUGCGAAAAGCGUUGGCGAGCUAGUAACAAGCAUUUGAGCUAACGAUGUCCGAAUGGGGAAACCCACUCACAUAAGUGAGUAUCACAUACUGAAUACAUAGGUAUGUGAGGCAAACCCGGGGAACUGAAACAUCUAAGUACCCGGAGGAACAGAAAUCAACCGAGAUUCCCCUAGUAGCGGCGAGCGAACGGGGAUUAGCCCUUAAGUCUAUAGGGUGUUAGUGGAAUGAGUUGGAAAGCUCAGCGGCACAGGGUGAUAGCCCCGUACAUGAAAACUAACUAUAGAUGAAAACGAGUAGGACGGGACACGUGACAUCUUGUCUGAACAUGGGGGGACCAUCCUCCAAGGCUAAAUACUCCUGACUGACCGAUAGUGAACCAGUACCGUGAGGGAAAGGCGAAAAGAACCCCUGUGAGGGGAGUGAAAUAGAACCUGAAACCGUAUACGUACAAGCAGUGGGAGCGGUUCCAUUCUUCGGAAUAAGAGACCGUGACUGCGUACCUUUUGUAUAAUGGGUCAGCGACUUACAUUUUGUAGCGAGGUUAAGCGAAUAGCGGAGCCGUAGGGAAACCGAGUGUUAACUGCGCGUUUAGUUGCAAGGUGUAGACCCGAAACCCGGUGAUCUAUCCAUGGGCAGGUUGAAGGUUGAGUAACAUCAACUGGAGGACCGAACCGACUUAUGUUGAAAAAUGAGCGGAUGACUUGUGGAUGGGGGUGAAAGGCCAAUCAAACCGGGAGAUAUCUGGUUCUCCUCGAAAGCUAUUUAGGUAGCGCCUCGAGCGAAUACCAUU